rnacentral:tRNA from 1 species
CAGGGAGACAACAAAAUGUUUAAUAUUAUUAUUUUGUCACCUUAGGUCGAUCGGUAUCUCACGUUCUUAAUUUGUUAAGAAUUUCAUUUCCUAAGUUUUUCUAGGUCACACCCAUUAUUUUUCCUGGGCCAUUAGCUCAGGUGGUUAGAGCGCACCCCUGAUAAGGGUGAGGUCCCUGGUUCAAGUCCAGGAUGGCCCAUAUCUCUAUGUUGGGGGUAUAGCUCAGUUGGUAGAGCGCCUGCUUUGCAAGCAGGAUGUCAGCGGUUCGAGUCCGCUUACCUCCACUGAUUACCACCUCUUCCAUAACUGGUAGAAAGGAAAUGUUUUGAGUUGUGAUUAUUAUUCUGAACGAAUCUAGCUUCCUAAUGAAAUCAUUAAGAUGCUGGACUCAUUGAAUUAAUUUCAUUGUUUUCAGAGAACCUUGACAACUGCAUAGAUUUUUUUAAAGACAAUAAGCAUCUUUAAUGAUGCAGAUUUAUUAUUUGUGCGAAUGCAUUAAUAACAAUUCUAUUGAGCUGAUGCUUCAAUUUUUGAAGUUAUU